UUUACCACGUGGUUCCGAAUAUAUUGAGAUUAAUGUUAAUUCUUCUAAGCAACGUCUUUACCACCACUUAUAACUAGGCAGCCUUAAGUUUCAAGGUUCGCACAAUUCUCAAUACGGAGCAGAGCAAGUAAACAAAAAUCGAAGACUGACGAAAAGUUGCCGGUUUCUAUAAGGAAAUCGUUCCAAGAUAGUUUCUGUGAAAAGGAGAUUGACACACACAAUAACACGGCGCGUAUAAUCCCAUGACUGGGAGAGGAUGAGCGUUAUGAAGACAUGGCGAAGAUUAACAGCGCUUUUCAAAUUUGAAAUGCCUUUAUAAAGCGUAGAAGCAAUCUUGAAGAACCCCGUAGAGUCCAUAAACACCUGGCCAGUUUCAAAUUAGGAAUGAACAUUCGCCUACGAAUUUGCAAAAGAACUUGAAAAUUACUUGAACCGAUCAAAAGACACGACAAGAACGUUUACAAGCCUAUGCCUGCGUUUUUUGGUGUUUUUUGCUUGUCUCUUAUAAAGCACAGCACAUGCAUCAUAUAAAUUUCCAAUCUUAUUCUGAAAAUGGAAAUGUCAAAACUGAGCCGCGCCCAUCUAAUAUAAUAGGGUAUGAAAAUGUAAUUCUUUUUCUAUUUUUUAAUCUCUUCUUAGAAUAGCGGUGACGAUUAUAAAAGACUCGGUCACUACCGAAUGUAAUUACCUUACUUGUUAAAUUUUUGUCGUUAGCAAGGUUAGCAUUAAAGCGGAUAGCCUUCAUCCCUAGGGCUUUAAGGCUAAAUUAAUAAUAAUAAUAAUAAUAAUAAUAAUACCGUUAACGGGAUUAGUUAAUUUUUAUGUUUAUUAACUGCAUUAAAUAUGUAUGUGAUUUUCAUAGCGUUCAAUAUCGAAAGCCAUAAAAACGUUAUAUUUAGGAGUUAUCAUCGAUUUCAAUUGAUAUUGAAAGCGAUAAACCGACACCUCAUCUCAAAUAUGUAUUGAGAGUACUAUUACAUUUCGAACGCACAUUGUAUGCUAAAGAUAUCCUAAGGGAAAAUGUCGUCUUACUACUAAGUGACCAUUAAAUAUUUAGAUAACUUCGAUCAGCUUAAGGCUGAGCAUUUCAAUUUUAUUAACACCUUAAUAUGUUUACUGAAAUUGAACAUCAAUAUGUACACACACAUAUAUACAUAUAAACAUAUAUUGUCAACUAUAUAUUAAAAUGUUACUUUUGUAGUUACGUGUUUGCCAAAAGUAAUGAAUAUAUUAGACUCACAUUUGCAUAUACAUGUGAAACGAUUCCCAGAAAACUCUGAAUGGUAGCAUUUAAACCGUUUGUCACAAAAAAUCGGUUCAAAAUUAAUUGUAGUAUAUAACUGCAUAACUGAAUAUAUGCAGCUGAAAACAAUGAAUGGGAUGCGGCGUACCUUUAUAUAUAUAUACCCUGCACCCUACACGUUUAAUACAGUUGUUCAUAUAACGACUUUUCAAAAUAA